CCCUGCCCAAAACCACGACUACCCCCUGCCCACAACCACGACUACCCCCCUGCCCACGACCACGACUACCCCCCCCGAUUAUACACCAGACUGCCUCCCCGACCCCUGAGAAACCUCAACUGAAGAGACAGGUGGUGAGAGUGAAGAUGACACCAAAGGAUCAAUAUCUGAACAUCAGAGAUCUUGCUGUUCAGGACGCCAUCUUAAAAGAGAUAAGGAACAAGCUAAAGGAUCAGGGGUUACCUGCAGACACCAAAGUGAUGUGGAAAAAGCAGCCUGAUGGGAAGGUCUUCCACAAGGAGGAAGAUGGGUCUCCCAAUAAAGAAGAGGAGGAGAAGAAGAUGAAGAGAAUGAUGACAAAGAGAGAACUCUAAUUAUGUUAAAUGUUCUCCUUGCAUGUAUCUUUUUAUUUACAUUAAUAAUCUGUACUGGUCCAGAUGUAUAUUGUUUUUUCAUAUAUACUAUUGUUUUAUCAUUUAUUAAUAUUGUUAAAUCAUUCAUUAAUAUUGUUUAAUCAUUUAUUAUUAUUGUUUUUAUCAUUUCUGAAUUUAGUUUAAUUGUGUAUUAGUAUUGUUUUAUCAUAGGAUGUGAUCUUAAGUUACAAAUCUUUAAAAUUGUUCAGUGUUUGAAUUUCUUUUGUUAGUUUAUAUAUUAGAACCUAGUUUUUCUUCAACUGUAGACUUGAUGGUUCAUUUGGAACGUUAAUAAAUAACAUGAUGUGUGAUAGUGAGAGAUGCUCUUUAUCCUCAGUCAUUAUAGACACUAUUCAGACUUGAGAUCUGCUCACUGGAAUUUAUGUGCAUUGACAUGAAUGCCUCAGGUGAAAGUCCCAGUUGCAAGCACAGAUCUCAUGUCAGAUAACCAUUUCAACAGCUCUGUAUUUCUGUAUUGGAUGUUAAUUUAGAUUUCAAGAAAUAAUCUCUCAUUUAUCAACAAGUUUUUAUAUUAAUUAAAACAGACAUUUAUUAUGACCAAAUAAAGGUUUAAAAUGUU